UACGGAGGGUGCAAGCGUUGUCCGGAUUUACUGGGUUUAAAGGGUGCGUAGGCGGGCCAUUAAGUCAGUGGUGAAAGCUCCGAGCUUAACUCGGAAACUGCCAUUGAUACUAUUGGUCUUGAAUUCGGUCGAGGUUGGCGGAAUGUGUCGUGUAGCGGUGAAAUGCUUAGAUAUGACACAGAACACCGAUUGCGAAGGCAGCUAGCUAGACCGACAUUGACGCUGAGGCACGAAAGCGUGGGGAUCAAACAGG
rnacentral:rRNA from 1 species